rnacentral:rRNA from 1 species
UCUGGAAACAAUUGCUAAAACCCAAUCUGCUGAGGAGUAAAACGCGAAAAGCUGCCAAGAGACAGGCUCGCGUCUGAUUAGCUAGUUGCUAAGAUAAAAGCUCACCAAGGCGUUGAUCAGUAGCUGGUUUGAGAGG